UAAUACGUAGGUUGCGAGCGUUGUCCGGAUUUACUGGGCGUAAAGCGCGCGCAGGCGGUUCCGAAAGUUCACGGUGAAAGCUCCCGGCCCAACUGGGAGAGGCCCGUGAAAACUUCGGAACUUGAAGGCGGGAGAGGCAAAUGGAAUUCCCGGUGUAGCGGUAAAAUGCGUAGAUACCGGGAGGAACACCAGUGGCGAAGGCGAUUUGCUGGCCCGCACUUGACGCUCAGGCGCGAAAGCUAGGGUAGCGACCGGGAUUAGAUACCCCGUUAGUCCUAGCCGUAAACAAUGGUCACUAGGUGUUGUCGGUAUCGACCCCGGCAGUGCCGUAGCUAACGCAUUAAGUGACCCGCCUGGGGAGUACGACCGCAAGGUUA
rnacentral:rRNA from 1 species